AUUUAUCACCAGGGGUGCUGAACCUUUAUUGUGUUUGGCUGAGACAAACCCUUAGUACCUGAUCUGGGUAAUGCCUGCGAAGGAAGUGUGAACCAUGACUUAU
rnacentral:ncRNA from 1 species